UAACCUGCCCAAUGAAAAUUUAUUAAAUGGCCGCGGUAUAUUGACUGUGCAAAGGUAGCAUAAUCAUUAGUUUUUUAAUUGAAAGCUGGUAUGAAAGGUUGAAUGAAAAAAUAACUGUCUCUAUUUAAAUUUAUUAGAAUUUUAUUUUUAAGUUAAAAAGCUUAAAUGUGUAUAAAAGACGAGAAGACCCUAUAGAGUUUUAUAUUUUUUUUAUAUUAAGAUAUUUAGAAUUUUAUUUUUUAGUUUUAAAGAAGUAUUUAAUUGGGGUGAUUAAAAAAUUUGCUAAACUUUUUUUUAAUUUUUACAUUAAUUUAUGAUUUCUUGAUCCUUUUUUUAAGAUUAAAAGAUUAAAUUACCUUAGGGAUAACAGCGUAAUUUUUUUUUAGAGUUCUAAUCGAAAAAAAAGAUUGCGACCUCGAUGUUGGAUUAAAAUUUAAUUUUUGGUGUAGAAGCUAAAAAAUUAGGUCUGUUCGACCUUUAAUAUUUUACAUGA
rnacentral:rRNA from 1 species